rnacentral:lncRNA from 1 species
AACUUCAAGGUAUGCUUAUAAACUCUCAUAUUCUUCUGCUUUCCCCCUUUCUUUAUGUCUCCUCCCAUUCCCCUUCCCAUUUAGUAUCCUCCUCUACCAUUACUCUCUAAUAUGCCUAAAUUCCCAAAACCCUAAAAAGUUAUUGGAAAAUGAAAAUAUGGGUGUUGCUAGAUUCUUUUCGCUUGUAAAUUUUGUGCAAAUUCUUGUUUUGGGUGUAAAUUUUGUGCAAAUUCUUAUUUUGUAAAAUUGACAGCAUUCAGGUAAAAGAAAAUUAUUGGGUAUUAGAAAGGUUUCAGUUGGUACAAUCAAUUUUGAGUUCUCUUGAUGUCAUCUUCUUCUCUUCAUUUUGUUGUUCAAAUGAAGGCAGUAUAAAGAGUUCUAUUUGCAAAUAAUAAAGAUUUAGUUUUUUUUUCUUUUUUAUGCUUUGCCCUUUAAAAAAUGAUUUGUAAAUUUAGGAGUUGUAACAUGGUAAUGAAACAAAUUUAAGAGAGUUGUAUCAUUUUACAUUAUUAUCCGUAAAAAGAGAUUUAAAAUAGUACUUUGCAGGAGAGUUGACUUUAAAAUUUUGAAUGGCUUCACAAGACUUUUCUUAAUUGUUCUUAUGUGUAUCUAAUGCAUUUUUACAUGUAAAGUAUGAGGGAACUCUCGGUCUUCAUACUCCAUAUUCUUUCCCAAACAAAAAUCUUGUUUCUUCGACCUCACUUUUAGGCCUCAAUCUGCAUUUUCAUCAAAAUCAUGAAUUUUAAAGUGGGAAAAAAAUCAGGCAGAUUAUUGUUAUGAUAUGACAAAAAUGUUAUUGUUGUGAUAUUUGUCAUUGUAAUGAUAUGGCAAAAAUGUGUUAUGACGCAGAAAACAUUACCACAUUCAAUGGAAUUGUCCUAAAUAAUGACUGAAAAUUCUUCUACAAAUUCAACAUAAAUAACAUACAUCUGGCAAAGCUAACAAAUACCAUAGAGCAAAUAACUCAAUCCUAAAUCUAAUAUUUAAGUACCUUUGUUCUUCAACAACAUCAGUGUAUAUCUGGUAGUUAGAAAAGGACGAUUUAAAGUCCUUCAUAUUUCUAAUGCUACUGAAAUUGCUAAACUACCAUUGUCUGUGACGCCCCAAAAUAGGUCCAAUCCACUCAACCCAUUCUGAGUCGCCAAAUACAUGGUACAGAAACAACUAUAACUUCAUUAAUAUAAUUGUCGCACAAAAUAUGACAACACAUAAACUGUGGAUACCAACUGUGACUCUCAUCCCUUUACUUGGAUAGCACCUCACAUUGAUAUCUUAUAAUGGUACCUUACAUAAAGGUAAGGUCAAUAACUGUUUUAGAAAUUAAAAUAUUUGAAAAAUGCUCAAGGAAACCUUCGUACAUGGGAGACCAUGCAUCUAAGUUGUAAUAGAUAUCAUAUGACUCGAGAAUUAUCCUUGGUUGACCCAAUAGACCCCAAAGAAAAACGAGAAGAUUACUAUCAUAUUCUUCCCAAUGGUGAGUCUUCUCUUGACAUAUCAUUAUCUCCACUGUCUCUAAUUGAGAAUUAUACUUCAAACAAACACCAAGAUUAUAUAGGUAGUGCUCGUAGAUAUACUCAGCAAGUGGAUGAGCACAACCCUGUCUUAUGAUGACACGAGGUUGUAUGUCAUUAGACAUCUUGUAUGAUAGUGGCAAAACACCCUUCCAACGUUGGGUUCGCCUCACCCUAUUUGAUUCACCAAAUAUAACUACUAAAUGAUGACCACCGUUCUAUUCCCCUGUUACCCCCGCUCGACCCAGCUACACUCUUAUUACCUGAAAGGAAUUGUGAAGCAAAAGGGUGAGCACAACUAGCUCAGUAAAGAAUAUCAUGACUAAAGAUAAUUAAAUUAUCAAUAGCCUUCAUCAAUAAUAAAUCAGAGAUUUAGAACAUAUGGUAGAUGAAAAAAAAAUUUCAACCAUAGUUGCAGCGGAACGAGCAAUCCAUUAGAAGAGUCAAAUAGACUAUAAAGUCUAUUAUCUUCUCCAUGUUAAAAGUCCACCAACAAUGUUUUAUCCCUGUAACAUCAAUCAACAAUUCCUGUCCACAAUCACAUGUAUAACUCAUAAUCGUAAUUGUUGUUCUAAAUUCCUUUUCUCAUUCAGGACGAAGAUAAUUUUCAUCACUUGUCUUUACCUGAAAUAUCAAAGAUCAUGGUUAUACCAAAUCACAGUUCCUGUUCAUAAUCAUACUAAUAAAUUCAUCUUUGCACUACGGGCCAAAGAUAUUCAUCAACAGUUCAUCUUUGCACUACAGGCCAAAGAUAUUCAACAACAGGUCAUCUUUGCACUACGGGCCAAAGAUAUUCAUCAACAAUUCAUCUUUGCACUACAGGCCAAAGAUAUUAAUAUCUCAAAGAAAUAUAUAAUCAUUUCAGAAUUUAUAUAAACAAUAAUUAUAACCAUGUUGAUCAAUUCACCUUUGCACUUAAGCUAAAGAUAUUCAAUUAUAAAUUCAAUGAUCAUGAUCAUAUCAAUCAACAAUUCAUCUUUGCACUACUGGCCAAAGAGAACCCAUAGUCACGAUCAUACCAAUAAUAUACCCAUCUUUACACUCAAGUGAGAGAAAUUUUAUCACCAGGGUUAUAAAAAUGUUAUAUAUGAUAAUAAAAACAAUAUGAUCAAAACAUGUAUUUAAUUUCAAGAGUAAGAUUCAUAAAUCAAUGAUAUUUUGGUCAGAAAAAGAAACCAAUUUUGUCGUGAAUAGUAACCCGUGAAUAGUAACUCGUGAAUAGUAACUCGUGAAUAGUAACUCGUGAAUAGUACCUCGUAUUCGUACAUAGUACCGUAUACAUAAAUAGUGAUGUAUACGUAAAUAGUGCCAUAUACAUGAAUAGUGCCGUAUACGUGAAUAGUAACUCCGACACGAAAAGGUAAAAAUUUCCCAAUGAAAUUCAUACCAAUAUUUCGGUAUAAUGAUAUUGAAAGAAAUAAUAUUAUUUACGAAGAAAAUAACAUCUUUUACCAUCCCUUACCUCAAAAGAAUAUCACUUCUGACUGAAAUAUUGGAUAUAAUGCUGAAGAAAACUUGCACUGAAUAACAAUUCUCAAAGUAUCUAAUUACUCACAAAAAUAUGCUCGAUAUUAUAGAGAGAAAACUUCAGAUUCUGGUGUAAUUUUCAAUUCUAACUAAACACCCUAUUUAUAGGAAAAUGCUAGAACGCCAAAGCAGAAUAAAUUAAUAAAAUAUUAAUUUUUUCAAAACUUUUUACGCACACCUUUUUGACCAAAAUUCAGCCACCAUCAGUGGGGCCCACCAAAAUUCAGAUUUUCCACACCAACCAAAAGUGGGGCCCACCCAUGUUUUUAAUAAAAAUAUUUAUUUCUGAAAUUUCAAUAAUUCAUAAUAAAUAGCCCUUUUAUCAAAAAAAUACGAAUUUUAUGUCCAUUCCAUAAGAAAUUAAAUUCUCUACAACUUUGCAGAAGAAAGUUUUUUUAAAUUCCAAACAGAAAAUGCCCGAAAUUCACAUAUGGACGAUCUUUAAUACACCCCCUUCUGACAAAAUACUAAUAAAACACCUCAGCAUUAAUUCCUUCAUUUAUAUCCACAUAAAAUAAAUAUUUUCUUAUCAUAUAAAUCAAUAAUUAAUUAUUCACAAACAAUAUUAAAGAAUCACAAUUAUGACAACCAGGUCGUUCUCAAGAAAGAGAGGGCUUUCCGAUAAGGAUUUCUCCUUGGCGCAUAAUUAGGUGAUCAAACCCCUUUCCUAGACAGAACUUCCUUAGACAUUGUCAAUAAUGCUAUCUAAUUUUAUUCAAAUAAUAUGAAUUAUUGAUCUGAUAAUGGAAAAUACUGUGCAGUGAUAAUUAUUGAAACAACAAUAAUAUAAAUUAUAAACGUAGCAAUUAUUGAAUCAAUAAAAUAAAAUAUUGAACAAUAAUUACUGUUGGUUGAUUUCACAAUCAAUAAAUUUGUGCAAGUGUACACAGUCAACAAGUAAUAAAGUGAUAAGAUAGAGUUUUGAUCCCACAGAGAAUUCUAAUCAAUAAAUUCCAACUACUAGCACUAUAUCAAUCCAAUUUUAUUUAAACAACCAUAAAGUGUGAUUUUUCAAAAUAAGAAAAACUAAAUUAAACAAUUAAAAAGAGAUUACUCUAAAAUAAAUCAAACAAACAAAAUUAAGAUUUUAACGAAUGAAUUCAGAUAAAUAAAGAUUAAGACUCCAAUAUCCUCAAUUAUGAACUAUAAAUCAAUUAUUCAAUUAUCCCAAUUAUUAUGCCUACUAAAUUGUUAACAGGAAUUCUUCAAUGUCAAAAGCCCUUUUCUAAGUGAUCAAUUAACUUCUAUUAAAUCCAAUUAAUCUUGCUAUAUUCCUAUGCAAAAUAAUUAAAUUAAACUCUUUCAAUCCCAAUUCCUAACUUGUUACAUGCAGUGAACAGAUAUUUUCAUUCAAUUCACGACCCUAAUUAUUCGUCAUGCAAAUAAUUAAGAAUACAUGUUAUCAUGCCCAUUUCUAACCCUAGAUCUCCUAUUCCAAUUCCUUCUAGAGUAACAAGGUAAUUAUUGGCCAAAUAAUUAAUCAAUAAGCAUAAGAUAAGAUAAAUAAUUCACUUCGACAUAAAUAAUUGGAAUAAAUUGAAUAACUAAUUUAUAGACAUAAAAGGUUUAAUUGAAAUCUUAAUGAAAGAAUUAGUUCAUGAUAGAAUUUAAAACCAACAAUUCUUUAAAAAUCAUCCUUAAGGAAUUACACCAAUUGAAAAAUAGGAGAAGAAGAAAACUCUAGAGCCAAUCCUUCAAUCUUUAAGUAAUCCUUUACUUAGUCUUCAAUUGUACUAGUUCCCCCUUUUAAUUCAGCACAGUAAACUUUAUAUACUAUUCACAUUGCACCAUAAUCCUUUCUCAAAUCAACCUCUCAAUUAAGCCACAAAUCCAAGUCAACUCGUUGGUCAACACGCGCGUCUUUGGUCAACUGAUGCCGGGCUUCAGCGCCCCGGCGCUGUGGAAUGAACUAGCUAGAGCGCCCCGGCGCUGAGCUUCAAAAUAAUUGCGAAAAUGCCAUUCACAGCUCAAAUUCCCAAUUUGCCCCUGUGUCUCCUGAAUCUGCAAAAUAACAACAAAUCACAAUAAAAAUUCUACUAAACGACUUGAGGAUACAAUAAUUUAAGCUCGAUUAUAUUCAAUUCAUGGGUAUAUUACCCAAUCAUCAAAUACCCCAAAACUUAAAUCGUUGCGUGUCCUCAAGUAACAAAACACAAAACACUACGAAAAACUAAACAACCAUACAAAUGCACCUAAAACUUUCUACAUGUUCGUAAUUCCAGCAAUCAAAUAGCACACCGUAUAUUCAUUAGGCCUCAGAAAAAUCAUAAAACAUGCUAAUACCUCAUAUUAAGACAGAUCAAUAAUAUCCCAACAAUCAAUAAAUCUAAAUCUAUAAUUACUGAUAUCGUGUGUGUGUGUUCAACGACCAUGCUAACCAUUGAAAAACAAAAUAUGAAAGAUAGUAGAUUUCUUAGAAGGCAUCAUACAGUGUAAACUCGAGAACUCCUCAAAUAAACUUGAUUCGGCUAAAAUCAAACAAUUACCAAAGUUCAAGGGUCAAAAUAGAAUACUUAUGCUUUUUUUCUUUUUUUUAACGGGGUUUUUUUGCACUUUUUCCGCUUUAUUUUUAUUUUAUUAUUAUUAUUAUUAUUUUCCUCAUGACUAUGCAUUGUCCUAUUCCCUUAAGCUUUUCAGUGCUACCUUAACGAGUUUUCGACCAACGACUCUCAAGCCAUUAAGACCUUAGGGCGCUAGGUGUAAAGACAAUCCCCUCGGGCUUACUUACUCAAGUAGCAAAGGCCACAAAACUAGACAAGUAUGCCACGGUGUUUAUUUAUUUAUUUUUUUUCAAAGCUUAUAUACUCCAAAUAUUUUUCCCCCAAACUUGAGUUUAUGUCUAAAUUUAGUCAUCACUAGCUAUUCAAAUUGUUCAUUCAUUUCACUAGCAUUCAUCCUUUAGAACUUUAUUAUCUAUCCAUUUAAACUUUCUUAGCCAACAUGGUCAUUUUGCAAAACGUGCUAUCUUGAUAAUAUCAGUGUCAAGCAGAUAAAGAUUUCAAUUAUGUCAAGAAAAUCAUAUCACUAGCUUACCAAUCCUUACUAGACUUAUUCAUGCAAUUUUAAUUUCAUCAUUGGCCCCAAACAUACGUAACUAUUAAACAACUGGAAUUAAUAUGCAAUCCUAGAUGCAACUCUUAAUCAACAAUAAAAACUCAAAUUAUCCACAAAUUACUACAAUCUACAAAUGCAAAUAAAAAUUAACUACCCCCAAACUUAUCAAGAACAAUGUCCUCAUGCGAAAAAUAUAGCAAUAAAAAUAAUAGGGGACUUCCCUGACGAGCUCAUUCCUCAGGUGCAACAUCAUCAUCCUCGCUCAUCUAUUGAUCAGAAGGGGGAAACACAAGCAGAACAGGAGCAGUAGGGAACUGGUUAAGAUUAACUCUCGGGUACAGUUGAGCGUGCAUGGAAUUCUGGGCAGCAAAUUGGUCGACCAAAUAUUUGUAGAUGACAUCUUGUCGUUCAGACAGACGGACAUUUUGGGAUUCGAGAUUAUAGAACCACCCGUCAAUUUUGCGCUGGACAACCUCAGGGACAACACCACGGUGAGCUGCGGAGGAAGGACCAUAUGUGGGUGGGGUUGAAGGUUGUGAAGCUUGAGGAGCUUCAACUUGGGGAAUUAUAAAACCCAAUCCCCUAGGGUGGUUCUCCCCCCCUGUCCACACUUUAUACCUGCUGAUCAAUUUAUGGUCCAACACGGGCAUUGGUAGCUGAAUCAUCUCAUCCGAUUUUCAUUCUUCCCCAAACUUGGUACAUAAAACGCAAAUGAGAGACGGAUGGGGUAACCCUCCUGUGGUCCCUCGACGUGACGCUCGGAGAAUGGACUGCUGAAUAAGGUGGUCGACAUCAAUUUUUAAGCCUUGAAUUAUGGAAUAUAGCAGCACCGCCCGCUCCUUGGUGACAUGGCUCACAUGUGUGCAUGGCAUCAGUUUAGCGCAUAAAAAUGCAUACCAAGCCUUCCCAUAUAAGCUGAGGUGCGACAGAGGAAAUGUCAUACUACCUCGUUCAUGCAUGGUCCAUGUGGUGCCCAGUUGACAAAGCUCACGGAUAAUUGCUUCAUAAUCAGGGCCUUGACUCACAAGAUUAGCAUACUCGUCGUUGUGUCCCUCUAAUGGCAGUUGAUAGCACCCGUUAAUGUCUUCUUCGCCAAAUUCGACUGUCUUGCCUCUCACAUACACCCCAUAGUGGUAGUGCUCGGGAACGUUGGCGUAGAACUCUUUGACGACUGCAAUCACUGCUGGAUCGGGUUGUUCGGUGAGUGAGAACCAAUUUCGCUCAGCUAUCAUGACCGCUAUGUCCCCGUCUUUGGAUUGAUAGGGCCUUAAACCUCGUUCGGGAAUGAGAAAGCGGGUGGCCAUCUUGUUGUAGCAUUCCAAUGCCUCGACGCUGACAAACCUUCGAUUAUCAAAUUUUGUAGAGCUGAGGUGGUUCCGGAACCUUCACCACGUUGACGCUUCGAUGCCAUUGAGAUAAAUCUGCACAGAAAUCGCAAUCAAACAGAUUAAAAUUGGACAUAAAUCUAGUAUGAACAUAUGUACCCAUAGCACUACCCCCAAACUUCAAAAUAAGUGCACAUUUGGAAACAUAGUUAGGGGUGUGGUGAGACAUAAUAGCAUGAAAAUACAAAAUUGGCUAAGUAAGCUCAUUUUUCAUUCACAACGCACAAUUUUCCAAAGCUACACAAGUUACGCUCAAAAGAUAUGACAUGUAAAUCAAUAUGACCCCACGUAUGCAUCGAUACAGUUUAGCCCCCUCAAUAUUGAUAUAUAUGUGUGAUAGUAGACCUACGGUAUUAGGGUGGCAAGAUGGCAAGUAAAUUCAGUGUGUGGGUAUGGUGUUGUGUGGUAUUAGCAAAGACAAUUGACUCAGGCAUAAUCUCAAACACUUUGUGGGCAUUUUACAAAUCUCCUUGAACAUCCCUAUUAGCAUAGCAAUCCAAACUUUAAUCACUCCAACAUCAUUGACACAUAUAUAUGCAUAUUAAUCAACAGUAUUUCACACAUGCAAAAAGAAUUUAGCCACAUGAAGGACGAUAAUAUGCAAUCUUAGUCAUGAGAGAGAUGAAUCAAGGUCAAUAUUAACACACCAGGUUGCAUUUACCAGUCUGCAAUUGAGAUUGGAUGGAACAGAGAUUUGGAAAUUAAAACAGUACAUACCUUGGAGAUGGAUAUAACAGACAAAAUUACUUAUCACGAUGAUGAACGAAUGUCAGAUGUGGAACAACUUCAAAGAUUAAUCAGGUAUAUAAAUAAGAAUUGGGAAAGCAGUUACGAGAGGAGAAAGAAUAGGGUGAUAUGAAAGUGGAACGUGGGUAGUAAUUGAGUGUGAGGAAAAGAGAACCGAACAGACUUUUAAAUCAAGUUGGAAUUUCAAACCUGGGGCCAGCGCCGGGGCGCUGGCAUUUAUAUUGUCCAGAGCGCCGGGGCGCUUGAAGUCAAUAGCUGGAAUGGCCCCCUAGCGCCAGGGCGCUGUGUUUAAACUAGGAUGCAGUGCCGGGGCGCUGAGAUGCAGAAUCUUGAGAACAGCCUAGCGCCGGGGCGCUGAAGGCUAGGAAUUUAUGGGCGUCGGGGCGCUGAAGGUAUGCAUCAUGUUUUGUGGUCAAGCGCCGGGGCGCUGACUUCAUGUUUAUAACGAGCGCUGGGGCGCUGAUUACCAUCCAUGUAAUCCUUUGCUCAAUAUACAGCUUUCCUAGAAGCAAGAAAUCCAUGAAUAAUGUUAUGCUUGAGUAUUGACUAUCAACUAACAAUAAUAAUGAAGUAAAAUAAAAAUAACAAAUAUUUUGAAUGAAGUAAAACAAAAUAAACUAAAACUCUUUGGGUUGCCUCCCAUUAGCGCUUGGUUUAUAGUCGUCAGCCCGACUUUUCUAUGUUGCUCAAUUGUCUACUGGUUCAGAGAGGUACAUGGCCGUAAAUUGGCGGUCGAUGGGUCCACUCCAAUAAUGCUUGAGCCGUUGGCCGUUUACCUUGAAUGUUCGCUUCGAAUUCGGUUCCUCGACUUCGAUGUUUCCAUGUGGUGCGACUGAUAUAACCCGGAAUGGCCCGGACCAGCGAGAUUUCAACUUACCGGGGAAUAGACGCAAUCGUGAAUUGAAUAGUAAGACUUGUUGGUCCGGUUCGAAUUUUUGAUCAAGGAUUUUCUUAUCAUGCCAGGUUUUGACUUUCUCCUUGUAGACUUUUGCGUUCUCAUAUGCAUUGAACCGAAAUUCGUCCAUCUCAUAUUUAAUUGCAGUAACCUUUUCUCCCCUGCUGCUUGAAGGUCGAGAUUCAGUUUUCGGAUGGCCCAGUAUGCACUGUGUUCUAAUUCGACCAGGAGAUGACAAGCUUUUCCGUACACCAUCCUGUAGGGUGACAUGCCUAUAAGAUUCUUGUAAGCUGUUCGAUAUGCCCAUAGGGCAUCAUCUUGACGCAUUGCCCAGUCUUUCCGUGACAGAUUGACCACCUUUUCUAAGAUUCUCUUAACUUCCCGAUUUGAAACUUCCGACCAUUGGUUUACGGAUGAUACGCGGCUGUAAUUUUGUGACGGACCCCAUACUUUAUAAGCAAUUUAGUGAACUGCUUAUUAUAGAAAUGAGUUCCCACAUCACUGAUUAUCGCCCUCGGUGUCCCAAAUCAUGUGAAGAUAUUUUUCUUCAAAAAUUGUAGUACGACGUUGGCAUCAUUCGAGGGUAACGUUGCGACUUCUACCCAUUUGGAAACGUAGUCGACCACCAACAGAAUGUACUGAUUAUUGAAGGAGGAUGGAAAAGGUCCCAUAAAAUCGAUUCCCCACACAUCGAAUAGGUCAACCUCCAAGAUUGUAGUAAGUGGCAUUUCAUUUCGUUUGGAAAUAUUACCUACUCGUUGACACCGAUCACAUUUUAGCACAUAUAGGUAUGCAUCUUUGAAUAGAGAGGGCCAAAAAAAUCCCGAUUGCAGCACUUUGGCCGCUGUCUGAUCACCUGCGUAAUGACCUCCGUAAUCUGAUGAGUGGCAAUAACCUAAUAUGCUAUCCAUCUCUUCGUGUGGCACACAUUGUCUAAUCAUUUGAUCCGCGCAAGCCUUAAACAGAAAUGGUUCAUCCCAAUAAUAUUGCUUGACAUAGUGGAGGAACUUCUUUCGUUGAUGCGAAUUCAAAUCCUGGAGUAAUACCUUUCCAACCAAGUAAUUCACUUAAUCUGCAUACCACGGCAAUAUCGUUAUUACUCGAAGAAGCUGUUCAUUCGAAAACCUCUCAUUAAUCAUGACGUUGUCUUUUUGCUGAGCUUCCGCAUUUUCCAACCGAGAAAGAUGAUCCGCCACCUGGUUCUCGGUACAUUUUCUAUCCUGGAUCUCCAAAUCAAAUUCUUGUAGUAACAGUACCCACCGUAUUAACCGCGGUUUGGCAUCCUUCUUCUCAAUCAGAUAUUUAAUGGCAGAAUGAUCAGUGUAAACAAUUACCUUAGUCCCUAUGAGAUAUUCUCUGAAUUUGUCGAAGGCAAACACAACCGCAAGUAAUUCUUUUUUGGUGGUCGUGUAGUUCAACUGAGCAUCUGUCAACGUCUUGCUGGAGUAGUAGAUAGUGUGAAAAUUUUGUCGUGACGUUGUCCCAAUACUGCUCCAACUGCGUAGUCACUGGCGUCACACAUCAAUUCAAACGGUAAAGACCAAUCGGGCGCCACUAUAAUUGGAGUUUAGACCAAUUUCUUCUUUAAUACUUCAAACGCCUCGAUAUAUGACAGAUCCAUCUUGAAAGGCACAUCCUUCUCCAAAAGGGAACAUAAGAGUUUCAAAAUUUUGGAAAAAUCUUUAAUGAAGCGUCUGUAAAAACCCGCAUGUCCCAAGAAGCUCCGUAUUCCCUUGACAGAUGUUGGAGGAGGUAGUUUCUCAAUCGUUUCAAUUUUCACUUUAUCCACCUCUAAGCCUGCUGCAGAAACCUUAUGCCCCAAAAUAAUCCCCUCUUGCACCAUAAAGUGACAUUUCUCCCAGUUAAGAACAAGGUUAGUCUCCACACAACACUUCAACACUAAGACCAGAUUAUUCAAGCAUAAAUCAAAAUUAUCACCGAACACGGAGAAGUCAUCCAUGAAUACUUCCAAAUUUUGUUCUACCAUAUCAAAAAAGAUCACCAUCAUGCACCGUUAAAAGGUUGCCGGCGUAUUACAUAACCCAAAAGACAAACGCCGGAAUGCAAACGUACCAUAGGGCCAUGUGAAUGUAGUUUUUUCUUGAUCUUCCAGGGCUAUGUCAAUUUGAUUAUACCAGGAAUAUCCAUCCAAAAGAUAGUAGAACUGAUGUCCCGCUAACCUAUCCAGCAUCUGAUCAAUGAACGACAAGGGGAAGUGAUCCUUGCAUGUGGCUUUAUUCAGCUUGCGGUAAUUCAUACAUACUCUCCAUCCUGUAACGGUUCUAGUAGGGAUGAGCUCAUUAGCUUCGUUCUUCACCACUGUCAUACCCCCUUUCUUUGGUACGCACUGUAUAGGACUUACCCAUGAACUGUCCGAGAUCGAUUAUAGCUCGCUACGAACUGAGCUGAUUCAGCAUUUAUGGCACAUUGAUCUGUAACAUGACUCCCAACACAUAACUCACAAACCAUUGCUACUUACUGCGUGGAUGGUGGAGUCCAUGUUUUCAUUUUCUUAGCUAAUGCGGACACCUGUGCUGCCAAUGCUAUCACUGUAUCCGCUUCAAACUUUCCCGGUGUUUUCGGAGGGUUUGACCUAGUCAUGGGCCACUAAUAGUUGUUGUUGGCCAUCGUUUCUAGCAGUUGAUAAGUGUAGUAGCCCCAAAUUUGGGUCCUAAUCACCACAGAUCUGGUAUACUAUUUCCAUAACUAAUUGCGGAAGAUAUAAACAUAAAGUGUUUAUACAAUACAAUUUACACACUAUUCCCCAAAAUCGAGUAACCUUAACUUAUACACAAUUCAUAAACUAUCUAACAUAUAACAUUAUUAUCAAACUAUACUAUUACAAACUAGCCGCACAUUUUAUCCCAAGCUGAACUUGGUAUUAACCUUUUUCCUGUAUCCGAACGCAUUCGCCUUAUCUGCAAUGUUUAUCAUGAUAUAGCAAGGGUGAGCAUGAAAGUUGCCCAGCAAGUUUAAAUACAAUUUAAGGAUUUAUCAUGAUUGGAAGAGUCUGAAUAAUAAGCUGGCUAUAAUUCAUCAAUAUAAUUGACAACUAGCACGAACAAACUUUUGACUGAACAAGUAUUGAACAUGAACAAAUAUAUCUGGACCAACUGGUAAUGAAUGUGAUCAGCCUUUCAUACCUGACUUAUACAUGCAAAUAUGUACAGAAUACAUGCAAUAUGUACAGAGUACAAUUGUACAUGGCAAUCAACAAUGAUUAACCAUAAGCAUAUCUGAAUGAAACAACUCUUAGUAGAGUUAAGUAAAACUUGCCUGAACCAUUGAUUACCGCUACGCAAUUUAUAUCGCUUUAUCCGAAGACCUAAUAUUAGUAAUAUAGAUCUCCAAUAUUAGAAUAAUAUCAUCACAAUAUAAUACUAUUAUAUAUAUAUAUAUACAUAGAAUAACCUAAACACAUAACACAUAACCCUAUCAGUCUACAACACACAUAAGACUUAGUAUCAGGUCAAACUAUUUCAGUCUGACUUGAGCCCGACAAAAUUCUAACAUCCCGACGGUCUAGUCGAACAAAUCUCGAGUCUAAAAUCACUAAGACUCGGUCUAAACUGGUUCACAAAUAUCUUAAAUAAUUUAUUAUCAGUCAAAAUAUUUUUCAUAAGCUCGUAAUAAUUUUCAGAUAAUUAUUACCAUUUAUCAUGAUUUUUCAAUCAUUAAUAUCGUAUUUAUAUGAAUUAAAUACCACAUAAUUCCUUUAUCAUUAAUAUUUAUUUAAUAUUAAAUAUUAAUGAAAAUCAUAACAUAAUAUUAUAAUAUAUUUAUAAUAUAUCAAAGUAUUUUUAAUACCUUAAAAUCAUAUUUAUAUGAUUUUUAAACAAUUAAAUUCAUUAUCCGAUAAUUGCUAUUAAUAUUAAAAUAUUAAUAUUUUCAUGACAAAAUAUCAAAAGUUAUAUUUUAUAACUUAAAAUAUUUUUAUAACACUUAAAUCAUUUUUAUAUGAUUUUUAAAUCAUUAAUUCUAUUUUUCCAUAAUUUAUUUAAUAUAUUUAUUAAAUAAAUUAAUUACCAUUAAUAAUAAUUUAUUAAUUAAAUUCAUCACAAAAUAUUAAAAGUCAUCAAAAAUAACUUAAAAUAUUUUUUAAUAUCAUAAUAUAAUUUUUUCAUGAAUUAAAACUAUUUUUAAAUAAUUUAUUUAAUAUUAUAAUUAAAUAAAUAAAUACCUUUUAUAUUCCAAAAAUAUUAAAUAUUUUUGAAAUAUACUUAAAAUAAUUAAAAACUAUUUUCUAGGCUUUAAAAUAAUUUUUCAGAAUUUAUUAUGUAUUUUUAAUAAUUAAAAUCUAUUUUUUUUCAAUUUAUUUAAUAAUUUAAUCUAUUUUUCGAAAUUAAUUGUCACUAAAGAGCCCUAUAGCGACAAAACCGACGCUAUAGGUGUUCUUGAGUGUUCUUGAGCAUUUCCAGAAAACCAUGUCAGUGUUCAAGUGGGUAGUUUUGACCGGUUAUAAUUUCUAAUCCAAUCAUGUUCUGAACUAACUUAGGCUUUAAUCUCGUAGUACACAUGUAAUACUUCUAUCAAUCAUAAAUUUGGUCAUAUCACAACAUAUCAUGAAGAUCUGGUCUCUGAAACAUGUUGUCAGACCAUGCCUGGGUUUUUAGGGUAACCCAGAAACCCAAGACAGUUCGAGUGUCUCAUUUCGACCUCAGUUAUCUGAGGGUUCUGGUCAUUAUUUUAGUGGUUUUAUGGUUUCGGUCUAUAGUCCUUAUGUCAGUGAACAUUUACAUUACAACAAAUCAGUUCAACAACAUAUAAAUCAUCAGAUACAGAUCGGUCAAAGCUUGUCAGGAAUGACGUUCACGUGGUUUCUGGAAAUUCCAGAAACUGAACAAUAUGACCGAGUGACUUGGUUUGACCACUCACUACAUUUGAUAUUUUGAUGUUUUGAAAGGUCUAAAAACAUGGAUCUAUAGUCCAUACAACACACUACAACUUUGUUACAACCACAUGAACAUAUCACCUACAGUCUGACAGAUAAAGACCUUAGAAAAGCUUGUCAGGCCUGGUUUUACACUUUCUGGGUUACCCAGAAAGUUCAUAGUCAUGCUUGGUCAACCAUUUUUGACCUUGAAUAUCUUGAAUUCUGUAAAUGGAAUAGCUUUGAUUCCACUUCCAGAUCAAAGACCUCUUGUCAGACUACAAGUGUAAAGCUUAAAACAACUCAAAACAUAAACACAUAAAGAUCUAAGGCCACUGACAUAUGGUUGUCAGGCCAUUUCUUGAAUUUUUUUUCCACAUUUCAAAAAUACUAGAUUCGAGCACUUUAAUGUUAUGGAUCUGGGAUUUAACAACCCAGAUCACUAAAUAACAUCAUAAUAUAUAACAUUAAACAACAAACAACAACAUCAAACAUCAUAUCAUAGGAUUUCUAAAUUUUAGGGUUUAUAUCACUUUGAUGCUUUGAUUCUGAUUCUGAUCCUUGAGAUCUAUUCCUGCUAAGCUAAGAAGUAUUCUUGGCUUAUCUUAUCACUCUAUCUCAUUCCCAUUCCCGAAAUAUAGAGAGAGAAAAGGUUGGGCAAGCUUGAAAAAUAAAAGUAAGUGACUUUAUUUACUUUUUAAGUCUAAAUUUAUAAUUCAAUGUAUAAUGCUGAUAUUAUUGGCUGAUAUGUGAGAUAUAAGUCACAAGCUAGGGCUAGGGUUGGUGAACAACCCACAUUAGGUCAAGAUCUACACACCAACUCAUUAAAGAAUUGCAAAAGGGGUAAAAUAGUCAUUUUCAUACCAUUUUAUUUCUAGAAUUGUCAUUUGAUACAAACCCUUAGGGUUUGACCCUUAUGGUUUAAUCCUUAGGGUUAAAACCUAAGGUUCCAUAAAUCAAUUUUCUAGGAUUUCCGGAUUAAGGUUUUCGAAAUAUAAAAUUAAUAUUUCAAAAUUAUUAUUAGGAUUUUAUAAAUAUAUUUAGAUUUCCUAAUCAUACUCUCAGUCUUGCUAAUUAGGAUUAUUACUUCCUAAUUAAAUUUGCCAAUUUAGUAAUUAGGGUCAAAAUUGUACAUUAGGGUUUCUGACAGAACAAUUAGGGUUCAAAAAUUUGAAAUUAGGGUUUACUAAUUAAUUAAGCUUUACCCUAAUUAAUAUUAUAAUUAAUAGCACUUAAACAUUAAAAUUCUCCGUUAAGUUCCCAGAUUAGGGUUUUAAAUUACCAGAAUCUGAAAUUAGGGUUUUUAGAUCUGGUAUUAGGGUUUUCUAAUAAUCAAUUAGGAUUUUAAGUAAUUCAUUGGGGUUUUCCCUAAUAAAUUAAAAUUAAUGACGUUUAGACUUAUACAUAGCAUUUAAAUUCCCGAAUUAGGGUUUUUAAUUUCCGAAUUAGGGUUUCGGACUCCCGAAAUUAAAAUUAGGGUUUCAGAGCCGAUUUUUAGGGUUUCUUAUCUGACGUUAGGGUUUUUUAACUGAACGUUGACGUUCUUAAUAUAUACUUAGGGUUUGACACUGAUAAAAUUUAUCUGGUCAACCCUUGACCCUUAACCACAUUCUGAACACAUACAUAACCAUAUACACAGAACAUAUUCACAUAUACACUUAAUCCUAAUUAAUUAUCCAAAAUCCUACACAGAAUUUUGAAAUCCUAAAAAUUCCUUCCCAAAAAUAUCAAACGCAUACACUUAUUUUCUGUCUAGGUCUAUUAUUUGACCUUAAAUUCAUCAUUUAAGAUUUUAAUAAAUUAUCUAAUUUCUCGGGUUGUCACAUUCACCCUUUUUUCUAAGAAUUUCGUCCCCGAAAUUCACCUUACACCAUACACCAUACACCAUACUGCUUACACCAUUCACACAUAUCAUCACAUGCUACCCAAUACACCACACACAAGAGUAAAAGUUUUCAAAUCAUGCUGAGGGGUCAUAUAGACCAUGAACACAUAGUUUUAACGGUAUUCAUACCGCAAAACUAUACAUUACAUUACUUGGUAUGUUUACAAUCACAAAGAAGGUAAACUACCGUUGUUAGUACUUUAGGUGAUUAGCCUAUCGUACUCUUACGUCAUGCAUAACGUAUUAAUCAUGUCUAGCGAAUAUUUACGCUACUCGAUUGGAUUAUUUAUCCAAACAACAUAGUUCACCUCAGUCUUAUUAUAGGAUUCCGCACCAAAACGAUUUGGUUCGGGAAAUUUCUUUCAAUGAACACUUAGAGUUUUCAUAAACAUUAGUCUAGCUGAAUCGAAUAACGUACUCAUAUCAAUAAUUCAAUUCAAUCGAAUUAUUUAAGUGUAGCCAAACCCCGUUGGCAAAUUAAAAUUUUAAAAAUAUUUUCGAGAAUGACGUCAUGAUGCCGUACUGUAUUAACAGUCCGUUUGAGGAUGCCGUCAUUGUAUGACUUUGUCAUUACACAUCAUACAAUAGUGGAAUAGCGAUUUUAGAUCAAAUUCACUUCUUGUAUUUAUAACUCCAUCACCUUUUUAUCAUCUCUGCACCAGGUUACAUGGUACAUAAGUGAUAAAUAAAAUAUAUUUUGAUAUUUCAAAUCAUUUGCGUCUAGCCGAAAUAAGUAGCAUAGACUGUACUUUAAACCGUUUCAAAAAUGAUUAAGAGUCUAUAUUUUUUUUUAAAAAAAAAACACAUAGUGCGUAUUUAGCUUGAUGUCAAAAUUUCGAAGUCUAGCAUAACUAGGAGUUUUGGAAAACUUAUGUCUCCACUAAUGAUCAUUUGCUUAACAAUCUAUCUGUUCCUAUAAUCCUCAAUUCUCCAUUCACAGAUAACUAUACCCAGUUCGUCAAACCACACUUAUGAGUUCAUAAAUUUUUCACAAUUAUAUGAGUUUAAGAACUUACCCUAGUCAGACCUUUGGCGUCCAUUCGCUGAGGGGUUCAUAAACAUUUCGUAUAACUAUGAGUCAAGAAUGUCACAUAAGUAUAAGUUUUAAGAACUCGAAUUUAACCCUAUAUUCUCUACCUAUAACCUAUCUAUCUGUUAUACACAUGAGAAAGGAAUCACCCUCUUAACAUGCAUAUAACAAAUAGCGCGACACAACAAUUCAAUGAUUAUCAAUGCCAGAUACUAAGUAGUUUUUACACUAAGUACAAUUCCCCGCCCAUACAAGGAAUCAUACAACUCAGCUGCCAACAUGAGUCCUCAAUUGAAAUCCCCACCUAAUCUUAACCCCCUUCACAAUACGAAUUUCAUUUAAUCCAUAUUCAUAAUCCUUUCCUGAUUCUGUACCAAUUCAUAGUACAACUGACACACAACAAUCUUGCUGUAAACUUUCCAAUCAUCAAAUUGAUUCUUUUCCCUGCUAUCACCUUAUCAGAUCACGGGGUGAUCUCAUCGUAUAUAUUACGAUUCAAUUCUAUAUCUUAAUCGUUUUGUUUUACGAUCUCCUAUCACUGUACUUUCAGACUUUUAGACUUGAUCUUAUCAUCACUACUGCUCAACAUUAUUAUCAGAGUUAGGGAACUCCGUAUCUUUAUAACUCGCCGAGAUUCAUCUUUGAAUCUUAUCGACACACUAACUCGAUUUGAGUUAGUACUUAUCCUAAUCACUGCGGUUAUUAGUCUCAGGUAUUCCUACUUAAGGUUCAUAACCAAUAGCUUUGAUACCAACUGUAGUAGCCCCAAAUCCGGGUCCUAAUCACCACAGAUUUGGUAUACUAUAUCUAUAACUAAUUGUGGAAGAUAUAAACAUAAAGUGUUUAUACAAUAUAAUUUACACACUAUUCCCCAAAAUCGAGUAAUUUUAACUUAUACACAAUUCAUAAACUAUCUAACACAUAACAUUAUUAUCAAACUAUACUAUUUCAAACUUGGCAUUAACCUUUUCCUGUAUCUGAACGCAUUCGCCUUAUCUGCAAUGUUUAUCAUGAUAUAGCAAGGGUGAGCAUGAAAGUUGCCCAGCAAGUUUAAAUACAAUUUAAGGAUAUAUCAUGAUUGGAAGAGUCUGAAUAAUAAGCUGGCUAUAAUUCAUCAAUAUAAUUGAGAACUAGCACGUACAAACUUUUGACUGAACAAGUAUUGAACAUGAACAAAUAUAUCUGGACCAACUGGUAAUGAAGGUGAUCAGCCUUUCAUACAUGACUUAGACAUGCAAUAUGUACAUAGUACAAUUUUACAUGGCAAUCAGCAAUGAUUAACCAUAAGCAUAUCUGAAUGAAACAACUCUUAGUAGAGUUAAGUAAAACUUGCCUGAACCGUUGAUUACCGCUACGCAAUUUAUAUCGCUUUAUCCGAAGACCUAAUAUUAGUAAUAUAGAUCUCCAAUAUCAGAAUAAUAUCAUCACAAUAUAAUAAUAUUAUAUAUAUAUACAUAGAAUAACCUAAACACAUAGCACAUAACCGUAUCAGUCUAUACAACACAUAAGACUUAGUAUCAGGUUAGACUAUUUAUGUCCGAGUUGAAAUUGACACAAUUCUAUCAUUUCGACGGUCUAGUCGGACAAUUAUCGAGUUUAAGUUCCAUUAAACUCUGUCUAAACACUUAACAAUUAUCUUAGAUAAUUUACUAUCAGUCAAAAUAUUUUUCAUAAACUCGUAAUAAUUUUCGGAUAAUUAUUACCAUUUAUCAUGAUUUUCCAAUCAUUAAUAUCGUAUUUAAAUGAAUUAAAUACCACUUAAGUCCUUAAUCAUUAAUAUUUAUUUAAUAUUAAAUAUUAAUGAAAAUCAUAACAUAAUAUUAUAAUAUAUUUAUAAUAUAUCAAAGUAUUUUUAAUACUUUAAAUCCAUAUUUAUAUGAUUUUUAAACAGCUAAAUUCAUUAUCCGAUAAUUGCUAUUAAUAUUAUUAAUAUUUUCUUGACCAAAUAUCAAAAGUUAUAUUUUAUAACUUAAAAUAUUUUUAUAUCACUUAAAUUAUUUUUAUAUGAUUUUUAAAUCAUUAAUUCUAUUUUUUCAUAAUUUAUUUAAUAUAUUUAUUAAAUAAAUUAAUUACCAUUAAUAAUAAUUUAUUAAUUAAAUUCAUCACAAAAUAUUAAAAGUCAUCAAAAAUAACUUAAAAUAUUUUUUAAUAUCAUAAUAUAAUUUUUUCAUGAAUUAAAACUAUUUUUAAAUAAUUUAUUUAAUAUUAUAAUUAAAUAAAUAAAUACCUUUUAUAUUCUAUAAAUAUUAAAUAUUUUUGAAAUAUACUUAAAAUAAUUAAAAAUUAUUUUUCAGGCUUUAAAAUUUACUAAUUUAACAACCCACAUUAGGUCAAGAUCUACACACCAACUCAUUAAAGAAUUGCAAAAAGGGUAAAAUAGUCAUUUCCAUACCAUUUUAUUUUUAGAAUUGUCAUUUGAUACAAACCUUUAGGGUUUGACCCUUAGGGUUAAAUCCUAAGGUUCCAUAAAUCAAUUUUUUAGGAUUUCCGGAUUAGGGUUUUCGAAAUCUAAAAUUAAUAUUUCAAAAUUAUUAUUAGCAUUCUAUAAAUAUAUUUAGAUUUCCUAAUCAUACACUCAAUCUUGCUAAUUAGGAUUAUUACUUCCUAAUUAAAUUUGCUAAUUUAACAAUUAGGGUCAAAAUUGUACAUUAGGGUUUUUGACGGAACAAUUAGGGUUCAAAAAUUUAAAAUUAGGGUUUGCUAAUUAAUUAAGCUUUACCUUAAUUAAUAUUAUAAUUAAUAGCACUUAAGCAUUAAAAUUCUCCGUUAAGUUCCCAUAUUAGGGUUUUAAAUUACCAGAAUCUGAAAUUAGGGUUUUCAGAUAUGGUAGUAGGGUUUUCUAAUAAUCAAUUAAGAUUUCAAGUAAUUCAUUAGGGUUUUCCCUAAUAAAUUAAAAUUAAUGACGUUUAGACUUAUACAUAGCAUUUAAAUUCCCGAAUUAGGGUUUUCAAUUUCUAAAUUAGGGUUUCGGACUCCCGAAACUGAAAUUAGGGUUUCAGAACCAGUUUCUAGGGUUUCUUAUCAGACGUUAGGAUUUUCUAACUGAACGUUGACGUUCUUAAUAUAUACUUAGGGUUUGACACUGAUAAAAUUUAUCUAGUCAACCCUUAACCCUUAACCACAUUCUGAACACAUACAUAACCAUAUACACAGAACAUAUUCACAUAUACACUUAAUCCUAAUUAAUUAUCCAAAAUCCUACACAGAAUUUUGAAAUCCUCAAAAUUCCUUCCCAAAAACAUCAAACGCAUACACUUAUUUUCUGUCUAGGUCUAUUAUUUGACCUUAUAUCCAUUAUUUAAGAUUUUAAUAAAUUGUCUAAUUUCUCGGGUUGUCACAAUAAGCCUCAUCAAAAUUCUUGGACAUGAUCGCUCCACCUACUGCUGCAUCAGUACUGGCUCUUGUGGUCGCGUGCAAUCCAUCACAAAAUAUUCCAACCUGCAUCCACUAUGGGAUUCCGUGAUGUGGGAAUUUACGGAGCAUAUCCUUGAAUCUUUCCCACACCUCAUAUAAAGUUUCGGAGUCGAACUGUGCGAAGGUGUGAAUAUCGUUCCGUAAUUUUGCCGACUUCACUGGUGGGAAAAACUUAGCUAGAAAUUUUUGAGCUAAGUCAUCCCAAGCUGUGAUUGAACCAGGAGGCAAAGAAUGUAACCAAUUCCGAGCUUUAUCUUUCAACGUAAACGAGAUCAUCCUCAACCUUAUAGCAUUCUCCGAUACAUUAUUGAACUUGAAGGUGUCGCAAACUUCCAAGAAACUCAAGAUGUGCUCAUUAGGAUCAUCUAUCGAACUACCCCCAAACUGGCAUGUAUUCUGGAGCAUCUGAAUUGUUCCCGAUUUUAUCUCAAAACUGUUUGCAUUGAUUGCCGGCCUCCUAAUACUCGACUGUAUAUCUGUAACAUUCGGCAUGGCAUAAUACCCAAGUAAUUUUUGUUCGUCCCCUGCCAUGUUCACUGGUAUUUCUUGUUCUGCCAGAUCUUCUUCCACAGGUGACACCGCACUAGUCAACUGCACUUUCCGGAAUUUCCUUUCGAUAUCGUCUGUAUAAGGAAAAUGUUCCUUUUUAGCCCUUGAUCUAGUGUGCAUACACUCGCAAAGAAUUCUUGCAAAUACAAGAAGAAAAAUAAAUAACGUUUAAAUUAAGACCGAAUUGAUUAUAACUAAUAUGAAAUUAAUAUUAAUAUAGUAUUCCCCGGCAACGGAGCCAAAAACUAGUUGGUUGAUUUCACAAUCAAUAAAUUUGUGCAAGUGUACACAGUCAACAAGUAAUAAAGUGAUAAGAUAGAGUUUCGAUCCCAUAGAGAAUUCUAAUCAAUAAAUUCCAACUACUAGCACUAUAUCAAUCCAAUUUUAUUUAAACAACCAUAAAGUGUGAUUUUUCAAAAUAAGAAAAACUAAAUUAAACAAUUAAAAAGAGAUUACUCUAAAAUAAAUCAAAAAAACAAAAUUAAGAUUUUAACGAAUGAAUUCAGAUAAAUAAAGAUUAAGACUCCAAUAUCCCCAAUUAUGAACUAUAAACCAAUUAUCCAAUUAUCUCAAUUAUUAUGCCUACUGAAUUGUUAACAGGAAUUCUCAAGUGUCAAAAGCCCUUUUCCAAGUGAUCAAUUAACUUCUAUUCAAUCCAAUUAAUCUUGCUAUAUUCCUAUGCAAAACAAUUAAAUUAAACUCUUUCAAUCCCAAUUCCUAACUUGUUACAUGCAGUGAACAUAUAUUUCCAUUCAAUUCACGACCCUAAUUAUUCGUCAUGCAAAUAAUUAAGAAUACAUGUUAUCAUGCCCAGUUCUAACCCUAGAUCUCCUCUUCCAAUUCCUUCUAGAGUAACAAGGUAAUUAUUGGCCAAAUAAUUAAUCAAUAAGCACAAGAUAAGAUAAACAAUUCACUUCGACAUAAAUAAUUGGAAUAAAUUGAAUAACUAAUUUAUAGACAUAAAAGGUUUAAUUGAAAUCUUAAUGAAAGAAUUAGUUCAUGAUAGAAUUUAAAACCAACAAUCCUUUAAAAAUCAUCCUUAAGGAAUUACACCAAUUGAAAAAUAGGAGAAGAAGAAAACUCUAGAGCCAAUCCUUCAAUCUUCAAGUAAUCCCUUACUUAGUCUUCAAUUGUAGUAGUUCCCCCUUUUAAUUCAGCACAGUAAACUUUAUAUACUAUUCACAUUGCACCACAAUCCUUUCUCAAAUCAACCUCUCAAUUAAGCCACAAAUCCAAGUCAACUCGUUGGUCAACACGCGCGUCUUUGGUCAACUGAUGCCGGGCUUCAGUGCCCCGGCGCUGUGGAAUAAACUAGCUAGAGCGCCCCGGCGCUGAGCUUCAAAAUAAUUACGAAAAUGCCAUUCACAGCUCAAACUUCUCAAUUUGCCCCUGUGUCUCCUGAAUCUGCAAAAUAACAACAAAUCACAAUAAAAAUUCUACUAAACGACUUGAGAAUACAAUAAUUUAAGCUCGAUUAUAUUCAAUUCAUGGGUAUAUUACCCAAUCAUCAAUUACUGUAACAAUUAUUGAGUAGUGUCUUCUUACGUAAGAAUUAAUAAUUCAAAAAUACUGUGCAAUACCGUGUACUACUCUGCAACCACGCGUAUUACUGUAUUUUAACCACCAGGUAUUUUAACAGUGUUAAUGGUAACAAUUAUGCCGUUAUUUAUAAAAACUCAAACUUAUUGUUUUCUUCAUCCAACCGUUUUCCGUUAUGGGGCCCACAAAUGACUGCACCGUCGUACGAAUAUUCCCCUACAACAAGAAUAUUUCACGACCAAACGAAUAUUCACCAACAACUUACCAACAGUACAAGGAUAUGUAGAAUCACGCAUCAUUGAGGUGUCUCAUUUUUAUGUUCUUGUGAUCUUACAAAUUGUAUGAACAUUGAGGUUCAUUAAAAAUGUGAGUGGCUCUGUUGAGUUGAGUCGAGAGAAUAUGUUUUGAGAAAUAAUUUUUGUCAAAAAUUAAGGAAAGUGCUGCUUCUAUAUAUGUCUCUCCUCCCCUGGUAUAUCUAUAGUUCUUUCUCCUCCCCUGGUAUAUCCCUGGUAUAUGUAUUUGGAAAGUCUUCAACUAAUGGAAGUCAUCCAUAUCAUGUCAGGAAAGAGACCCAUGGAAAAUAUCUAUUAAACAAUAUAUUUUUGUACAAGUUGGACGAAAAUAUAACAGCUUCUACACGGAACAUAUCAAAAAAAUAUUUGGACAGAAAACAAUAGACAUUGAGAAGACCUUUAGAAAGAGAUCUUGUUAAAUACCAAGAUGUGCAAAGUCUGAUAGAAAACGUGCCAUUAUAAAUUCCAUUACACUUUGUCAAUUACAAUUUCUUUCACAACUUCACUUCCAUUACAACUUUCAACAAAAGACAAUUAAUUUUUCAUAAUAACAAACAAAUAGAGAAUAAGUAUUACAAAAACUCAUUUCUUCAAUAAUUUAAUUACUUGUCUCAUUUCAAUUAUAGUAGGAUCGUGCAUAAUGAAAUUAUUUGGCAGCUGCAUUUUCCAUUUGGGCACGCAUAGUAGAUUCAACCUUCAUUUCCAUUCUUAUUGGAGCGGGUAAUUUUACAAAUCGCAAAUUGUCUACAAUGACAUUGCUUGCUUUGAAUCCUUAAAUCAUAUUCACUGUUUUUUACCAUGCUUCCUGAUGCCAUGUUUUUCUACAAAAAAAUUGUUUGUCAAUGAAUAUAAACACAGCCGAAUGAAUAGACUUUCAUGGUUAAAAAUAAUAAUAAAUCAAUAUGUCGUAAGUUCCAGCUUUCAUUCCAACUAAGGAUCUAGCAAAAACAGAACAUAUCGAUCUGAUACAUAUACUUUAUUUCAAAAAACAAAAAAAAAACAGAAAAAUUGAUCACUUCAUCAAUCAAAGAGAUCUAACAAAUCAUUUCAAAAUGGUAGAUUGAAGGAAAACAAGAUAAUAUACACCAAGGAUACGCUAAAGAAAGAAAGGUUGUCAAGGGAAACAACAUCAAGUCCCCUCUUUUGCAAAACAACACUACCAGUCUUUUUGAGGAGGAGACAGUAGUACUAGUACAGUAAACAAUUAGAGAUGACUGCUUCCAGUUAAAGAUAAGGAUUUUAUGAUAGGCAUAGAUGAUUUCCAGCAUUAUGACAUUUGCAACAAGUGUUACAGGGAUAAGUUUGAAGCUCCCUACCUCUCCAUCUACAACAUGUAACAUUCAAUAACAUAAGUUUGCAUAUAUUCAAGUUCCCUGAAUUGGAACUUAAAACUCCUCGAAAGAUUAGGGUUAUUUUCUCUGUGACUAGUAGUCAUAAUUAACACUUAAAAAUCUAUAUUAAAAUGAC